rnacentral:rRNA from 1 species
CGGCUGAACCAGCAAUUUGGAGGAAUGGAUAAUGAAUAAGUCAUAUAAAAUUCUAGAUAGUGAACGGAUAAUGACUAAUUACUAUCUAUUAGUCUUGACCAAAUUACGUGCCAGCAGUCGCGGCAAUACGCAGAAGACAAGUGUUAUUCAUCUUUAUUAGGUUUAAAGGGUACCUAGACGGAUAAUCAAGCCAAUUCGGGACUAAUUUUCUAGAGUUUUAUGGGAGAAGGUAGAAUGUCUGGUGUAGCGAUAAAAUGCUGUAAUACUGGAUGGACAGGUAAAGGCGUAGGCAACUUUCUAUGUAAAAACUGACGUUGAGGGACGAAGCCCUGGGUAGCAAUAAGGAUUAGAUACCCCGGUAGUCCAGGGAGAAAAUGAUGAGUGUCAUAGGCUAGAUAAAUUAGUCUAUAAAUGAAAGUGUAAGCAUUCCACCUCAAGACUAAAGCGGCAACGCUCAAAUUGAAAUCAUUAGACCGUUUCUGAAACCAGUAGUGAAGUAUGUUAUUUAAUUCGAUAAUCCGCGAAUAACCUUACCACGUUUUGAAUAUUUUUACAGUUAAAGCUUAAAUCUACAAGCGCUGCACGGCUGUCUUUAGUUAAUGUCGUGAGAUCUGGUUAACUCCUUUAAUUAACGAAAUCCCUUGUUUUUAUUUGUUUAUAUAAACCAGUUCUCCGCUAUAUUGGAUAAGAUAAUAGGGAUUAAGGCAAGUCCUCAUGGCCUUAAUAACG